rnacentral:tRNA from 1 species
GUGACUGUAGCUCAGUUGGUUAGAGCGUCCGGUUGUGGUCCGGAAGGUCAUGGGUUCGAACCCCAUCAGUCACC